rnacentral:tRNA from 2 species
GUGCCUUUAACUCAGUGGUAGAGUACGGUCCUCAUAAGGCUAGAGUCGUCAGUUCAAAUCUGACAAGGCGCA